CCUACGGGAGGCAGCAGUGAGGAAUAUUGGUCAAUGGCCGGAAGGCUGAACCAGCCAAGCCGCGUGAAGGACGAAGGUGCCAAGCAUUGUAAACUUCUUUUGUCAAGGGACAAAAUCAGGCUCGAGAGCCUGACCGAGGGUACUUGAAGAAAAAGCAUCGGCUAACUCCGUGCCAGCAGCCGCGGUAAUAGGGAGGAUGCGAGCGUUAUCCGGAUUUAUUGGGUUUAAAGGGUGCGUAGGCGGGCUGGUAAGUCAGCGGUAAAAGCCCGGGGCUCAACCCCGGCGAGCAGUUGAAACAGGCUGUCUUGAGAUGUGGAGAGGUAUGCGGAAUGCGCAGUGUAGCGGUGAAAUGCUUAGAUAUUGCGCAGAACUCCGAUUGCGAAGGCAGCAUACCGGCGGCGAUCUGACGCUGAGGCACGAAAGCGUGGGGAGCGAACAGGAUUAGAUACCCGAGUAGUC
rnacentral:rRNA from 1 species